rnacentral:rRNA from 1 species
UAAGCCAUGCGAGUCGAAUGUAGCAAUACAUGGCGUACUGCUCAGUAACACGUGGACAACCUACCCUCCGGACGGGUAUAAACCCGGGAAACUGGGUAUAAUCCCCGAUAGAUCUCGGUCGCUGGAAAGCCCCGGGAUCGAAAGCUCCGGCGCCAGAGGAUGGGUCUGCGGCCUAUCAGGUAGUAGUGGGUGUAGCGUACCUACUAGCCUACGACGGGUACGGGUUGUGAGAGCAAGAGCCCGGAGAUGGAUUCUGAGACACGAAUCCAGGCCCUACGGGGUGCAGCAGGCGCGAAAACUUUACAAUGCCGGCAACGGCGAUAAGGGGACCUCGAGUGCCAGGUUACAAAUCUGGCUGUCGUGAUGCCUAAAAAGCAUUGCAUAGCAAGGGCCGGGCAAGACCGGUGCCAGCCGCCGCGGUAACACCGGCGGCUCGAGUGGUAACCGUUAUUAUUGGGUCUAAAGGGUCUGUACCCGGCCGGAUAAGUCUCUUGAAAAAUCCAACAGCUCAACUGUUGGGCUUUCAGGAGAU